GACGAACGCUGGCGGCGUGCUUAACACAUGCAAGUCGAGCGAUGAAGUUCCUUCGGGAAUGGAUUAGCGGCGGACGGGUGAGUAACACGUGGGUAACCUGCCUCAUAGAGGGGAAUAGCCUUCCGAAAGGAAGAUUAAUACCGCAUAAGAUUGUAGUAUCGCAUGAUACAGCAAUUAAAGGAGUAAUCCGCUAUGAGAUGGACCCGCGUCGCAUUAGCUAGUUGGUGAGGUAACGGCUCACCAAGGCGACGAUGCGUAGCCGACCUGAGAGGGUGAUCGGCCACAUUGGGACUGAGACACGGCCCAGACUCCUACGGGAGGCAGCAGUGGGGAAUAUUGCACAAUGGGGGAAACCCUGAUGCAGCAACGCCGCGUGAGUGAUGACGGUCUUCGGAUUGUAAAGCUCUGUCUUCAGGGACGAUAAUGACGGUACCUGAGGAGGAAGCCACGGCUAACUACGUGCCAGCAGCCGCCGUAAUAC
rnacentral:rRNA from 1 species